CAGACAUUCUGGGGUUCAAGAACUCAAUCAAUUAAAGACUGCACCACAAAGCACUAGAAGUACAGCAAAUAAGACAGAAGAGAGAAUAAGUGAUCUGGAAGACAGGAAUCUGGAAAUGUUUCAGGUUGUUACAAAGCCUUCUGAAUAAUCAUUCUAAUGGUUGCAUAAUAUUUCAAGUACAUAUACUACUUCCUCUUGGACACUUCAGUGGCUUCCAGAUGGUCAUCAUUACUGAUGAUGCACAAAUAUUUUUCUAGGUUUGGAUUAUUUGGGAGCCCUUCCUCUUCAUGAAUAUUUACAUGGAGAUUCUGUUCAUUACCAAAAAAGAACACAUCGCAGUGGCUGCUGUCCCGCCAGCCUAGGACCAGCAUAAGAUACAUGGAGCAGCUCUAACCCAAACAUUGCAUAAACCUACAGCCUGAAGGAGAACUUGCCCAGAAAACCCAGACCUGUGAGUCUGACAAUA